rnacentral:rRNA from 1 species
GAUAAACGCUGGCGGCGUGCCUAACACAUGCAAGUCGAACGCUCUUUGGUGCCGUCAGGUGCCAGAGAGAGUGGCGGACGGGUGAGGAACACGUGGGUGACCUACCUUUCAGUGAGGAAUACCGGCGAGAAAUCGCCGACAAGACCGCAUACGCUGCCGGGAGCAGACCGGGCAGCAAAGCUGUUUCGCGAGAAGCGGCGCUGGAAGAUGGGCCUGCGGCCGAUUAGCUAGCUGGUGGGGUAAUGGCCUACCAGGGCGACGAUCGGUAGCUGGUCUG